GCUGGUGUGGCUCAGUGGAUAGAGCGUCGGCCUGCCGACUGAAAGGGUCCUGGGUUCGAGUCCCAUCAAGGGCA
rfam:Myotis brandtii contig198957, whole genome shotgun sequence.